ACACCGGCAGCUAUAGUGGUAGCUGGUUUUAUUGGGCCUAAAGCGUUCGUAGCCGGUUUGAUAAGUCACUGGUGAAAUCCGGCAGCUUAACUGUGGGAAUUGCUGGUGAUACUGUUGAACUUGAGGUCGGGAGAGGUUAGAGGUAAUCCCAGGGUAGGGGUGAAAUUCUGGAAUACUGGGAGGACCAACUGUGGAGAAGGCGGCUAACUGGAACGAACCUGACGGAGAGGGACGAAAGCUAGGUGCGCGAACCGGAUUAGAUACCCGGGUAGUCCUAGCCGUAAACGAUGCGGACUUGGUGUUGGGAUGGCUUUGAGCCGCUCCGGUGCCGAAGGGAAGCUGUUAAGUCCGCCGCCUGGGAAGUACGGUCGCAAGACUGAAACUCAAAUGAAUUGGCGGGG
rnacentral:rRNA from 1 species